GUGCUGGCUUUGGCAGCACAUGCAUUAGAAUUGUAACAAUACAGAGGAGAUUAGCAAAGCUGCCCUGCAAUAUGACAAGCACAUUUAUUAAGGUUCCUUAAUUUUA